rnacentral:rRNA from 1 species
CAGCAGCCGCGGUAAUACGUAGGGGGCAAGCGUUAUCCGGAUUUACUGGGUGUAAAGGGAGCGUAGACGGGAUGGCAAGUCUGAAGUGAAAUCCUGCGGCUUAACCGCAGAAUUGCUUAGGAAACUGUCAACCUGGAGUGUCGGAGAGGUAAGCGGAAUUCCUAGUGUAGUAGUGAAAUGCGUAGAGAUUAGGAAGAACACCGGAGGCGAAGGCGGCUUACUGGACGAUAACUUACGUUGAGGCUCGAAAGCGUGGGGAGCAAACAGGAAUAGAUACCCUGGUAGUCCACGCUGUAAACGAUGAUUACUAGGUGUUGGGGAACAAUAGUUCUUCGGUGCCGUCGCUAACGCAAUAAGUAAUCCACCUGGGGAGUACGUUCGCAAGAAUGAAACUCAAAGAAAUUGACG